rnacentral:rRNA from 1 species
CAACAGCUCAAAUUUGAAAUCUGGCCCUCUUGUCGGGGUCCGAGUUGUAAUUUGCAGAGGAUGCUUUAGGCGCGGCGGCCUUCCGAGUUCCCUGGAACGGGACGCCGUAGAGGGUGAGAGCCCCGUACGGUUGGACGCUAAGCUUAUAUAUAGCGCCUUCGACGAGUCGAGUAGUUUGGGAAUGCUGCUCUAAAUGGGAGGUAAAUUUCUUCUAAAGCUAAAUACCGGCCAGAGACCGAUAGCGCACAAGUAGAGUGAUCGAAAGAUGAAAAGUACUUUGAAAAGAGGGUUAAACAGCACGUGAAAUUGUUGAAAGGGAAGCGUUUGCGACCAGACCUUUUCCGGGCGGAUCAUCCGGCGUUCUCGCCGGUGCACUCCGCCCGGUUUAGGCCAGCAUCGGUUCCUGUUUCGGGGGGAGAAAGGCCGGGGGAAAGUAGCUCCUUCGGGAGUGUUACAGCCCUCGGCGGAAUGCCCUCGGGGGGACCGAGGACCGCGCCUUCGGGCAAGGAUGCUGGCGUAAUGGUCGUCAACGACCCGUCUUGAAACACGGACCAAGGAGUCGAACAGCUGUGCGAGUGUUCGGGUGGCUAAAGCCCUUGCGCGUAAUGAAGGUGAACGGAGGUGAGAGCCUCCUGUAACGGGGGGUGCAUCAUCGACCGAUCCUGAUGUUCUUCGGAUGGAUUUGAGUAAGAGCAUAGCUGUUCGGACCCGAAAGAUGGUGAACUAUGCGUGGAUAGGGUGAAGCCAGAGGAAACUCUGGUGGAGGCUCGCAGCGGUUCUGACGUGCAAAUCGAUCGUCAAAU